GCCAGGUGCGGUAGUGUGUACUGGUAAUCCCAGCUACUCGUGAGACUGAGGUGGGAGGAUUGCUUCAGCCCAGGAGCUCUGGGCUGUAGUGCACUCUGCUGAUCCGGUGUUCUGCGCUAACUUUGGCAUCAAUAUGGAGACCUCCAGGGAGCAGGGGACCACUAAGUUGUCUAAGGAGGGGAGAAGCAGCCCAAGUCAGAAACAGAGCAGGUCAAAACUUCCGUGCUAGUUAGUAGUGGGAUCAUGCCUGUGAAUAAACACUGCACUACAGCCUGGACAACAUAGCAAGAUUACAUCUCU
rnacentral:SRP_RNA from 1 species